GACGAACGCUGGCGGCGUGCUUAACACAUGCAAGUCGAACGGAAAGGCCCGGCUUUUGUGGGGUGCUCGAGUGGCGAACGGGGGAGUAACACGUGAGUAACCUGCCCUUUACUUUGGGAUAACUUCAGGAAACUUGGGCUCAUACCGGGUAGGAUCUCCUGCUGCAUGGUGGGGGUUGGACAGUUUCGGCGGUUGGGGAUGGACUCGCGGCUUAUCAGCUUGUUGGUUGGGUAGUGGCUUACCAAGGCUUUGACGGGUAGCCGGCCUGAGAGGGUGACCGGACACAUUGGGACUGAGGUACGGCACAGCCCACUACCGGACGCAGCAGUGGGGAAUAGUACACAAUGGGCGGAAGCCAGAUGCAGCAACGCCGCGUGCGGGAUGACGGGCUUCGGGUUGUAAACCGCUUUCGCCUGUGACGAAGCGUGAGUGACGGUAAUGGGUAAAGAAGCACCGGCUAACUACGUG
rnacentral:rRNA from 1 species